UUAACAUAAUCAAAACAUAUCUUACCUUACAAUUUCAAACCAAAUAAUACAUCUUAUCUAUACCAAAACAAUUAACUAAAAUAUUUACAAGUGAACCUCAUCCAUGUAACUCUUCGGAAAAUGAAAAUAGAUGAACUUCAUGUUUUCGCCUCUCGUAAUCUCACCCUACAAGACAAGUCUAUGGUCCAUAGGAGUCUCUACGAGUCACACAUAACACUCGUAGGAAUGAGGUUGAGUUUACGAAAAUUUAAGUUUCUUUAUUUUGACCUACGAGUGAACAUGAUAGUUCAUCGCACUUUUGGAGUAUGGGUAUAGUAUAUGGGUUUAGUAGGAGGAUUCUAGACUUGGUGAAGUUUUUUACUUGAACUUGGGUUCUAAAAGUUGGCUCAACGAGUCGUAGAAUUUUUUAUAGGCCGUAGGGAGGUCUUGCUGGAAGUUUGAGCAAAUUUUAGGUUUUUGUAGUCGAGUCUAUGGUUGACUAAUACGGGUUGUAGGUUACUCUACGGAGCGUAGAUCAGAACCGUAGGUCACAUCCGACAGUUUUAAUGAAGGGUGGUUUGGUCUUUUUCCUCCCAAAUAACCCCUAUACUGUGUCGCUUAAUUUAGACCUAUAACUGAUUUUCCCAACCCUAAUUUUACCCAAACUCUCUUAUUCUCUCAAAUCCCCAAUUUUCAUUCACAUUCAUCCUCUCCAUAUUCUCUCAAGUCUCCAGGAAGAAAACUAGGGUUCUCUUUUUUUCUACAUUGCUUUUUGACAUAGAUCCUCAAGGUAUGUGGAAAUUCACCAAUGGAUUUCAUUAAUCUAUUGGAUCCUAAUGAUUCUCAAUUCUCCAAUUCAAUUUCAUUAAGUUAAUUAAGUUUACCACUUCCUCUCCUCCCGCUCGUGGCUAGAUACAGAUCGCUAUCUAUUUCUUGGAUUGAUGAGUCCUGAUACUCCGAGGGCAAGACCAUGAAGACUUUACUUUUGAGACUUUGUACGUAGUAUGUGAGUUACGUUCCAAUCACUCUUGAUGUUUUAGAUUGGCUUUCCAAGACUUAAUAUAUUUCUGCACUUAAGUUAUGUUCAUAAUAUGAGACUUCUGUUCCUUUUCUACUUGGCUCUAUUAUGUUGUGUUGUAUGUAUGUCAAGUGACUUGUGUAGGACAUUUUGGGGUCUUAUAGGACAUGUCACAUCUAUGGUGUACUUUUAAUCAUGAUAAUACAUGAGACAUAAUAUAUAUAAUUUAGUAAUUAAGUCAUGUGUGGCCCCUUAAAGUUGUUCGUAUAAUUCAUUUAGACACUUUAACAAACAUUGUUUUCUAUUAGACACUCUAACCUUAACAAAUAAAUACCUAUUGAACAUUUUUGUGACAUUCAAUCAAAAGAGAAAGUGCGUGUAAUACACAUGCACAUGAUGUGACAAAAUAGCAAAUCAAAUAAAAACAUGUGGCAUUUUAAUUUAAAAUAAUUAUCAAAAUAAAUUUUAAAUAUUAAUAAGUCAAAAUCUUUAAGAAAAGACUUUAAAUUUUUCUUUAAAAAAAAUAAAAAAAAAAGAAAGAAAUUAUACAACCCCCCUUCACCCACCCCGCACUCCACCCCAUACAAAUCUUUCCCUUUCUUUUCUUUCUAUAACAGCUCCACCUUCCACCAUUGUUAAUUCUCCAUUUAGAACAAAUAGAUAUUUAACAUAUAUUAGGUAUAAACUUAUCAUUUUAAUAUCUUUUAUGUCUUCUUGCUCAUUUUCAUUUGAAUUGAUGGUGUUUUCUUAAAAGAUUCUCAUUCUUCCUUUGUUUAUUUUGAUAUUUUCAAAUUUGUAUUUUUUUUUUGUUUUUAUGUUUCUACUUAGAUUUGGGAGGAAGAAGGGGCGUAGAUCAAGGUGGUUUGUGGCGGGAGAGGUGAAGAGGGAGAGAGAAGAUAUUUUAUUAAUGAUCUUCAUUUUUUCCGGCAAAGAAGCUGUAGAUGAUUUCCAUUUUUUUUUAUAAAUAAGGCAUCUUCAUUUUUUUGAUAAAA